rnacentral:tRNA from 1 species
GCCUGGGUGGCUCAGUCGGUUAAGCGUCCAACUUCGGCUCAGGUCACGAUCUCACAGUCUGUGAGUUCCAGUCCCACCUCAGGCU